UACUAUGACCAUUGACAAUUUGAAAGAUGCACAUGCUACUAUGGAAAAAAAGCUUGAAUCAGUUAAGAAUAUCCAAACUGCAUUUCAAGAGACCUUAAACCAAGUAUGCCUGUCAUUAGACCGACGUCAAACUGAGCUUGUUGAGCUUCGUAAUACUCGAGUUAAUGACUGCAUGGACAUGGCUAAUCUCAUUGGUCAGCAGAUCGAAUGCCAACUGUCCCUAAGAGAGUCCAAAUUGGGUAAACAAUCUCUAGAAGAUGAUCAUAUUAGUAGUCAACCUAUUCAUCAGCCUUUUUCCCAGACUCUUAAGUCUACAUAUGGUCGGAGCCAUGUCUUGUAGACUAGUCAGUCCUUUCAUGCAACUCCUACCUACAUGACAGUCCCUUCAAUUACCCACCAUCCC
rnacentral:lncRNA from 1 species